GCAUAUGGUGUUUGGUUUUCUGUUCCUGUGUUAGUUUGCUUUGAUUUCAAGUUUCAUCCAUGUCCCUGCAAAGGACAUGAACUCAAGAGUGUCACUUUCUGAUGGGCCCAGGAAGCACAUGCUCUUGGGACCACAGGAAGAGGGGAGUUUACCCAAUUCACAGGUAUGUGAGGGUACAAACCAUGGCUGGGACUGGCUUCAGAAAGUCCUAUCCUAAUAUUCCUUGUGGGACAGUUCCAUCAAAGCCAAUAUCAAAGAAAUAAUUAUUCUUUCUGCACUUUAUGCAAAUAAUUGGGUGAAUUAUAAGACUAAAGUCUAUUUUACAAACAACUCAGUUCUAUCAUGAUUUGUUUUUAACAGAAAUGAGGACUGGAGAAAGAGAAAUUAUGUUUCAAAACUUGUCAUACAUUUGUAAUUACAUUCUAGACUCAUUAGUUGUUUUUAAGUUUUGCCUGCAUUUUAGACUAACCCUGCUUAUUCCUGUGAACCAACCAGCAAUCUCCAGCCACAGCUAAGAAGGAACAAAAGGGGUGGGUAUUGUAAAAAUCUGGAUCACUAUUCUAGUUCUGGGCAAUUAUCCUGCAACUCCUGGCAGUUAACAGGAAUAAAUAGGAUGCUCAUCACCUGGAGGUUUCCUUUUUGGGAAAGCAAAACAAGGGAGCUAACCAAAGCCAAGCCCCAUGCACCUAAAUCUUAGCAAGCAUAACCAUAGCCACCAGUUAUGUCACCAGACAUCCUUUUCUCUUCUUUGUUGGAGGAAAACUCAGUCCUUACAAAGACCGAGUAAAGUAUUUUAUGACCAAAAUUUACCCUUCUCUCUACCUGGGUUCUCUAAAAUUUGGCAACUAUUUGUGGAUAUCCAUAUUUUAUGGAAACAGUUAUUUCCAUAAGUUCAGUGAGGAUCUGUUUUGUUUUGUAACAAGACACACUCAGAGACACUAGUUAUUUUACCAUGGCUUUGACUGGACCAGCAUAUUUGCAGACAUGACCAGACUGAAGAAUGGAGGUCAACUUUAGAGCCAACAAAAAGCCUGUUGGAAAGACUGGCUUAGUAUCUUGACUAAAAUGUUCCUUUGCAAGGUUUCUCACCUGUGGUAAGUAAAGAAUGUCACUUUCUAAUAGGCUCAGGAACGUCAAGAUAUUUUGGGAACUUGAAAAGAAUUGGUACAGGUAUUAAGAGCACAGUCUGACCCAGACCCGGAAGGUGGCACCAUAGUGGUGCCUCCACCUGCACCCCUGCCACAGCCUGUCACCCACCUCAUCUUUGACAUGGAUGGACUUCUGGAUACUGAACGGCUGUAUUCAGUAGUAUUUCAAUAAAUAUGUGAUCGCUAUGACAAGAAAUAACAACCGGGAUGUAAAGUCCCUGGUUAUGGGUAAGAAGGCUUUAGAGACAGCACAGAGUACAAUAGACGUCUUGCAGCUUUCAGUGUCCAAAGAGGAGCUGGUGGAAGAAAACCAAACGAUGUUGAAGGAAGUGUCCCCCAUGGCUGCACUCAUGCCAGGGUCUGAGAAGCUCAUCAUCCAUCUGUGGAAACACGGCAUUCCCUUUGCCCUGGCCACCAGCUUGGAGUUCUGCAUUGUUUGAGGUGAGGACGGGUGGACACAAGGAGUUCUUCAGCUUGUUUUCUUAUGUCACGCUCAGAGAGGACCCUGAAGUGCAGCAUGGCAAGCCAGAUCCCGACAUCUUCCUAGCUUGUGUCAAGAUGUUCUCUCCCCCUUCUCCUAUGGAGAAGUGUCUUGUCUUUGAAGGUGCUCCCAAUGGGGUGGAAUGGAGGUGGCCUGGGCAGCUGGGAUACAGGUGGUCAUGGUUCCAGAUGGAAACUUUAGCCGAGACCUGAUGACAAAGGCCACCCUGGUGCUGAAUUCCAUGUAGGACUUCCAGCCUGAGCUGUUUGGUUUGCCUCCCUAUGAGUAAGAGGGAGGGCCUCGCUAUGCCUCCCCACAGCUCACUCUCAUGAUCCACACUGCUGGGGGAAAGGGAAAGGAAAUCAGCAACUCUCAAAUCCCAACCUGCACAGUAAUUUUAACCUCCUGAGAUUGGCAUUUCCAUCUUGUGUUGGCUUGCCCCACUCUAACAUGUUGAUAAAAUUUGAUAAAACGUGACUUGACAGUUGAGAGAAACACAGUAGAGAUGGAAACAAAGCCCAGAACAAAGAUGAAACUUGAAUUACUGUCUCAAAAAUCAAACUGAUGGAGUAGGUGGUGAAGUAAAUGUAUAUAUAUACAUACACAUAAAUACCUCCAUGUGUACAUGUGUAUGUCAGUAUGUUAAUAUUCAUGUAGGCAUUACAUGUUUAUACAUGUAGAUAUAUACAUGCAUUUGUAUGUAAAAUAUUUACUUUUCUAAGACAAAAUGGAACAUCAUUUCUCUUUUAUUCUAGUUUUCUUUGAACACUGGCUGGGAAAUGUAAACUGUGUAUGCAUAUAAGUAUAUACUUUAUGUAUGCAUAUGUAUGUACAUAUAUUUAUAUCUAUCAUUUGCAUCACUCUCCUCAGUGUUAAUGUCAACAUACAAUGAUAACUGAUAAAGCGAGAUGGCAGUUCUGUCUGGUUUCCAGUCUGAGUGGGAAAGCCCUGUUUUUGAUGAGCACUAAGAAGUCCUUCUCCUUGUUAGCUAACAUUCAAUUCUUUUUGUGACCUCAGAAUGUCUCUGGAUCUUUCCUCACUGACUGACUCUAAGCCACAUCAUCCGUAGUUUUUUGUUAGUGUGAACACAACUGUAACAUUUACCUCGUAUCUACAUCCUUAUCUAUAUUGGAAAAUGUUUUCUACCUCAGAACAACCAUUUGCCUCCUUUAAGAACACUGAUGGCCUACACCUUGUGGACAGAAAUUAGAAUUUGAUUUCAGAAUGUGUGCUUGGUGAGUCAGAGUGCCUGGCAACACUUUUGGAAUAAUUCUGUGAUUAAUCACUUUUAUAGAUUUACUCAUCUUAAAAUAUGUCUGUGAUUUGCCAGAGAAAAAUGGUGGUAGCCAUGAAAAUCAGGAGUGAGGGAGCUCUACUCCAUUGUAGCUCAGCCCUUCCCAGUGGCCUCUGCCCUUGGAUGUUCUUGAGCUACUCUUCAACUCUGGAAGUUGUGGACAAACCAUAGGGAUGCAUGUGUGCAUGCGGUGGAGUGAUUGUGUGUGGAUGACAGGCCCCAGCUAUUGAUAGAUGUUGCAUCAUUUAGCAAAUUUAUUUCCUCAUUCCUGAUGGCCUGUAUACAUGUCUACGCUUUGAAUGCUCCUCUUAAACUAGUUGUAAUGUCUUACUGUUUCCCUAACAAAUUAAAUUAGUUUAAUAAAAUCUUUUGACACAUGUUAAAAAAAAAAA